rnacentral:precursor_RNA from 1 species
AUUUGUCUUAUAACAGAGCUUGAAAAUUUUCUACUUUGCACCUAUUUUGGCAUGUAACAUGCUGAUCUUGUAACAUUUGAUGAUGUGGGUGUCAAUUUUAUCAUUCAUUUUUGCAGUAACCCUUUAGUAAACCUCUCAUGAAUGAGUAUCCACGUCAUCAAAUGUUACAAGAUCAACAGGUUAACAGUCAAAACGGGUACGAAAUAGGAGAUUUUGAAAUUUUAUUUCAUUGAUUGAGAAAAAAGAUCUGUGCAAC